UACGUAGGGGGCAAGCGUUGUCCGGAUUUAUUGGGCGUAAAGAGCGUGUAGGCGGCCAUACAGGUCCGUUGUGAAAACUCGAGGCUUAACCUCGAGAUGUCAUCGGAAACUAUUCGGCUAGAGUCCGGAAGAGGAGAGUGGAAUUCCUGGUGUAGCGGUGAAAUGCGCAGAUAUCAGGAAGAACACCUAUGGCGAAAGCAGCUCUCUGGGACGGUACUGACGCUGAGACGCGAAAGCGUGGGGAGCGAACAGG
rnacentral:rRNA from 1 species